CAGAGGUGGUUGAAACUCCAGGGAGAAAGGGAGUGCCUGCUCAACCCCCCUCGCCUGAAGGAUUCUUCUUUUACUUCUUUUUUGUUUUGUUUUGUUUUUUUGAGGAAGAUUAGCCCUGACCUAACUACUGCCAGUCCUCCUCUUUUUUUUGCUGAGGAAGCCUGGCCCUGAGCUAGCAUCCAUGCCCAUCUUCCUCUACUUUAUAUGUGGGAUGCCUGCCACAGCAUGGCUUGCCAAGCAGUGCCGUGUCUGCACCUGGGAUCUGGGCCGCCGAACCCCGGGCCGCCAAAGUGGAACAUGCGCACUUAACCACCGUGCCACUGGGCUGGCCCCUCUUCUUUUACUUCUGAAACCCGACUCUUCUGCUGCUGAUCUUAUAAAGGACCCAUCACUUCUUGGAUCAGAAUCAUCAUAUCCGGGCUUCUUCAAGAACAAUGCUGACUGCUUGCCUCACAUCUGGUUGACUGACAUAGAGAACUGCAGGGGAAUAAAGAACAUAGCUCCCAUCAGACAAUGAGAAAAAGUCUACAAAUCAUAACUUUUCUUGAAGCCAUCAGAGAACUAAGGUUACAGGCAACAAAAUGAACUGAAUUCCGAAGAGAGACCAGCCGCUAUGAGAAGAGAUAAGACACAGAAAUUAUUUCACCUUUGGCCAAGACUGGCUACAUAAUUUAUGGGACCCAGUGAAAACUGAAAAUGUGGGGACUUUUUGAGUAUGGGUGCUGUUGAAUGCACAGCUCAAACGCCUUCAGGUGGGUCCUGUCUUUGGCAGAGAACAUGAGGAAGAAGUGACCACCAUCAUUAUGGGCGAAAAGAAGGGAACUAAAAUUUGAUGCAUCCCUAAAGGUUGAAUAUGGGCUACCCCAUCCGUUUAGAAUGCCUGGGAGUCUCAGAUAUAUGAAGAGUUUGUACUCACAAGCCCUUUUCCAUGGGCCUCCACAAGAAAGACUGGGCAUAGUGCAGGAGACCAGAGAGUGCGACCCUUGAUGGGGCAGGCAUUCCAGACAAUGCAGGCAGCCUGGCCCUGGGGCAUAGACAAAAAACCCCACUCACUUCCAAAGACCCCUCCCUCAUCAAGUAAAAUCCUUCAGCAACUAGAGGAAGGAUAGCAAACAUUUUCAACCCCAGAGCCACUGGGGAAGUGUAGAAGCAGAAUCUGGCUGCAUUUGGGGACCAAGUAGGAAACUGUCCUUCCCACUCCUGGAAACAGG
rnacentral:lncRNA from 1 species